rnacentral:piRNA from 1 species
UAAUAUAAAUCGUUUUCCAGAGGCC